GGGCUGAGUGGGUCGCUUGGCGCCUUCCGCAGUGGCGCAGCGAGUGUCUGUCUGAGAUGGAUUUUAAAAUCGAAUACACUUGGGAUGGUUUUCCAGUGAGGCAUGAGCCAGUGUGUGUCAGGCUGAAUCCGUGUGACCAGGGAGUGAAGAUGGAGGUUAGUGCUCCAUUAUUCAAUGAUCCUCCAUCCCCUCUCGGAGAACCAGGAAAGCCUUUCAGUGAACUGUGGAAUUAUGAAGUUGUGGAAGCAUUUUUUCUGAAUGAUACAACUAAGCAGUAUUUAGAAGUGGAACUCUGUCCGCAUGGACAACAUUUAGUUCUUUUACUCGCUGGAAGAAGAAAUGUUUGGAAAAAAGACCUCGCAUUAUCAUUCAAAGCGUCCAGAGGAGGGACUAAUUGGGAAGGUGAAGCUUAUAUUCCUUGGAGUUAUUUCCCACCAAAUGUGACAAAAUUUAACUCAUUUGCAAUCCAUGGAUCAAAUGAUAGGAGAGUUUAUGAGGCACUUUACCCUGUGCCACAGCAUGAGCUACAACAAGGACAAAAACCUGACUUCCAUCGUCUAGAAUAUUUCAAGCCUUUCAGUUUCAACACACUGCUUGGAGAAGAAUGGAAGCAGCCAGAAUCAGACCUGUGUGCUUUCUGCCCUGGCAUUAUAUUCCAGAAGCAUAUGAAUCACUGGAGUGAAAUGUUUCUGGCCUCUUGUUUAGGAUGGUCAGAGGCUUAAGAAGGGCCUGAGUGGAAUUAGCUAUUCUUUCCUAUCAACAUGUUGCAUUUCAUGAACAAUCGAAUUAUUCUUGAACGAUAUAUAUGAAGAAAGGAAAGAAUAUUACGUUUGUUUCAGAGGAUUCAGUCCAAGAUCACUUGAUGCUGUUACCUUUGAGCUUGUGAAGAGUCAGAAUCUCAGGGGCAGAGUCUGUAAUGGAGGAGACUUAUUUCUUAGCACCAGAAGCAGAGAGGAGGCGUCUGGUCCUCAGUACUCCAUAAAGCCUUAAAGUGUAAGAAAUGUUUCCUGAGUCACAGAUGGAGGAGCUGUGGUAUAGCCAACUUUUGUAGAAAGUGUUCUCUCCCUCAAUGCUGCACUUUUCUGCACUGAUCUAGCUCGCAUUACUCCUUAUUAGGAGGCUUUGCUAUGCUGCUCUGUCUCUACUUAAUGCCUCUGACAUUACUCAAGGUAAGAAUGACAUAUUUCUUAGAAUCAUUUCCUGUGAUAGUAGAGACAGUUUAACCAACUCCCUGUAAUAUGCUAUCUUUUAAUGGACUGCAAAGAGCAACUAUUUAGUACUUAGAUUGUUUUCAAAUUCCAAACCAUUGAGAGCUUUGCCAGGUAAGUCCCACUUGAUUGGUCCUUCAGCCUUCCAAUCUGCAUACACUCUAUGGACAGCCAUUCUAGUGCCACGUGACCAACUGGAUCACAGUGGCAUGUUGAGGCUUUCUGUCCCAAAGCUUUUAUUUCCCAAGGACAAAAAUGACCUUGUGAUAAAGGACAACUGAUUUUUUCUUUUAAGAAGUAAUAAGAUUUUGCCAAAACUCAAAUAGCCGUGUUAUCUCUGAGCUUUAUACUUGCUUGCAGGACUCUUUGAGGAAAUGACUCAUUUCCCAAAGUUUGAAGAAUGGCUUAAGUUGUUUCAGGCAUUUCUCAGAUUGAGUCGUAUAUGAAGCCUAGCUGGUUAUUUUAGCCCUCAACUCUUCUUUCUAUGGAUGUAGUUAGCUUGUUAGUGUCAACACAGUGCACUAAAUUACUCCUGAGGGUUUUUUUAAGACCAAAAGAUUCACUUACUAGACCAUGGAAACAUGCCAGAAAAUUUACAGAUUGCUGUGGUAACAGUGAAUUUACCCUGAUAUUAUACCAUAAGUACAUGAACUGUACCUGGACUCUGAGUUGGAGUUUGUAAAGAAGGCACUCUCCCAUGCAGGGAAGCAUGAGCCUUCUUUGCCUUUUUUCACUGUCUAUAUCCUUCUUCACAUUACGUAUACCUGAGGCAAUCAGAGGAAGCCAACUUAUUUGGUCUUAGGCAGUCUGUUGUGUAUUUUUAGUGACUACCUAGACUAUGUGGUAGCUAGAACAGUGAUUAAAAAGAGAGUUAGUGGGAAAUCAAACCUCUAUUAUUUUCUUAAUUAGAACAAUGAUCUGUUGUCGCCCUCUUAGGAGUUCAAUAUUACUCAAUGAUAAAGUUCAGUAUUACUCAAUGACUCAUGAAAGUUUAAAAUUUCUCAUUUAUUAUAACUAAUUAAAAUAGAGUGGAGUCAGCUUAACCAAUAUCCUUUAUAAAGAUAGUAAUUUCAACCACAGAACUCUUAGCACCUAAGAGGUAUUUUACUCAGUACACAUGUCUGCUUUAUUUUAUCUUAUUUGUGUGUAUGUGUGUGUGUGUGUGUAUGAAUAUGUGAGGAUGCAUAUAUGCUGUCACAGAUAUGGAGAUCAUAGUAGAUGGACUAUGAGCUUCCAGCCAAUUUUUCUGUUUCCACUUGCCAUGUCCACAUAGGAAUGCUGGGAUUAUAGCUGGCUAUCAUCACAUCUGUCUUUUACUUUGGGUUCUGUAGACUGAACUCAGGCUUAUGGUUUUAAUUUUACCCACUGAGGAUACUCCCUUCUCACAGAUCUACUUUUAUAUUGAAAAUCACAGUACAUUUCUACUAAUUUCUACAGACUGAUGUCUUAUAAGUAACUAUUAUCCUUUUUCACCAUAAAUUAUCUUAAAUCAACCAAAUAUAUCCUGCUGAAAGCAACCUGUAAAUAAAGGCUUUCUUGUAGCAAAUAUUAGUUUGUUUGCCAAGAGAUUUGUCACGAUCUGACUUAUAAAGACAUCUUGACUGUUAUUUUUCCCUAGGACAUCCACACACAAAAGAAGAAAGUGGAUUACCAAUCCAUUGUAUUUGUCAGCUUUUUGGUACUCUGACAAAAUAUAUGUUAUAUGUAAUAGUUUAAAAGAAAGAAAGACUUUUUAAAAGGAGAUUCAGACUAUAGUUAAUUUGCAUUGGACUUGUGGCAGCAGAGUGUUGUAAAUAUUUUCUCGUAUGUAUCUGGUAUGUCACUCUCCCAUUACUAAUUCUCCAUGGCUAGUUCCUUCUCUCAUUAUACUCUAAUAAUAGGAUUUCUUAAGACUCAGUCCUCAGACUUUUACUAUCUCUAUGUUAGCUGAUGUGGUUACCUCAGACAAUAUUGUGAUUGAAAGUACAUUGCACAUACUAAUAAUUCCCAAUUAUAUAGCUUAAUCUUCCUCAUCUGUGCCAGAACAUUAAACUUUUUGAUAUUAUCACUAAGUUAUCAAAUGAAUGAUACAUAUUUGCAUGCCCAGUAUCAAAUACUUAAUUCUAAUACCUUACUCACUGCAAGUUUUCUCCAUUUAGUGAAGGAUGAGUUUUUCUGUAGCUCAAACCAAAAAAUUUUCACUCUACUUACUUCACUCUAUUGACAAAUAUAUCUACUAUACUUUUGAAAUAUAUUGAGAAACUCACCACUUCCUUACUCUCUCACCUUCCUAUCUCCCUAGCAUAAACCACUAUCGUUUCCAGAUAGUUGCAACUCUGAAUAACUUCAGUAAUCUGUAGUUCAUCUCCCUGUAUCUCCCCUUGCCCUGACUCAUUCCUCUACUCAAAAGCCAGAAUCUGCUUUAUAAUUUAUUUUUUUCAAUUUAUUUAUCUUUGUUCACUUCUUUGAGAAACUAUAUUUCUCCAGUUGACCUGGAACUUGCCAUGUAGAACAUGCUGUCCUUAAAAUUACAGUGUUUCUCCUG